rnacentral:rRNA from 1 species
UCCUACGGGAGGCAGCAGUGGGGAAUCUUCCGCAAUGGGCGCAAGCCUGACGGAGCAAUGCCGCGUGAACGAAGAAGGUCUUCGGAUUGUAAAGUUCUGUCCUUAUCGAAGAGAGGGUAUAGAGUGAAAAAUGAUAUACUAGGACGGUAGAUGAGGAGGAAGCCCCGGCUAACUACGUGCCAGCAGCCGCGGUAAUACGUAGGGGGCGAGCGUUGUCCGGAAUCACUGGGCGUAAAGGGCGCGUAGGCGGACUGGAAAGUCAGCGGUAAAAUCGAGAGGCUCAACCUCUUUCCGCCGUUGAAACU